rnacentral:lncRNA from 1 species
ACCUAUAAAAUAUAUAAAUCUCAAAAUAUCUCAUAAAUUUAUAUAAGGACAAUAGUUCAUCCCUACUAUGAAAAUGUUGGUUAACAUAUUUGUAUGUGUCGGACAAUAUGUACAUAAAUAGAUGAUAAAACAAUGAAAAUAUUUAAAAUUGUUUAAUCAUAGUUGUUCUUCAUCGUAUAUUAACCCUAUACAUUAAAAAAAUAAAAAUAAACCAAUAUAAAAACAAAACUCUUAAGUACUUCAAGUAUGAUCCUUUUUAAUUUUGACGCACAAAAUGUUUGAAUCAGUUUUUCUAUAUUCUGUUGCCUUCUGGAAAUUUAUGAAUUUUACACAAAAGAGAUAAUUUAAUGCUAUAUUUUAUAUAGUAAACAAAAACUUUUAUAUGGAUUCACGAUAUAUUAAAAGUAAUAAAAAUCUGAAUAUUAUAUUCAAUUUCCUAUAGAAUGAAUUUAUGCAAUGUAUUAAAAUGUAAAUACAAACCUAGUGAGAGAAUAAUGAAGACGAUUAAGAACGUAGACAAGAGUUGAACGGAUUUCCUCAUCUUGGAUUAUAGAAAUGGAUUGAUAGUGAGUUAAAAAUUUAGGAAAGAGAUGAAUUAUUCUAUUU